GAUGAAGAACGCAGCGAAAUGCGAUAAGUAAUGUGAAUUGCAGAAUUCAGUGAAUCAUCGAAUCUUUGAACGCACAUUGCGCCCGCCAGUAUUCUGGCGGGCAUGCCUGUCUGAGCGUCAUUUCAACCCUCAUGCCCCUAGGGCGUGGUGUUGGGGAUCGGCCAAAGCCCGCGAGGGACGGCCGGCCCCUAAAUCUAGUGGCGGACCCGUCGUGGCCUCCUCUGCGAAGUAGUGAUAUUCCGCAUCGGAGAGCGAUGAGCCCCUGCCGUUAAACCCCCAACUUUCCAAGGUUGACCUCAGAUCAGGUAGGAAUACCCGCUGAACUUAAGCAUAUCAAAAAGCGGAGGA
rnacentral:misc_RNA from 1 species